GGGCCAAUGCCACGUCGCCGGUAGCUCUGAGAGAGCUUUGACCGGCGAUGCUAUGAUUGGUCCAAGAGUGAUCCGCUGUUUCGCAUCUUGAUAGGAACCUGUGGAUCUUGCUUCCAGUUGGUCCACGGAGCCGUUUUCUGCGAUUACAUUU
rfam:Morus notabilis contig25691, whole genome shotgun sequence.